AGCUACGAUAGUUCAGUUGGUAGAGCAUGAGACUCGUAGUCUCAAGGUCAUGGGUUUGAGCCCCAAGCUGGUCA